GCGUUUCAUUUACAUUGAUUAGAUCUCUAUAUAGUAGUGUGCCACGAAAAUUAUUUUAUUAAAAUUUUAACUCUCUUAUAUUUUUAGUGUUUUAAAGAAAAAAUUUUAGUUCUCGAUCUGUGAAGUAAUACUGAAAUAUUUUAAAUCGGUAAUUUAAUUUAAAUCAAUUUUUGUACCUUUUGUAUCAGUGUCUGUUAACUUAAAAAAUUAUAUGUUGUUCCCGAAAAUCUAAGGGCAGCUUUUAUUAUAUUUGUGUGUAGCAUUAUUCAUGAUAAAUAAAAGCAGGGCUGAAAUAGUAUUCGUUUAUUUUUAUUUCUGGUUAUGGUGGGUUAAAAUUAUUUUUAUUUAUUUUUUUGUUUUUUAUAUUAGUAUAAAUGGGCGUAAAAGUAAGUAAAAUAAAAGGGGUUUAUCUCUUUUAUAUUUUUAUAUUAAUUUAAACCAAUUAUUGAAUAGUAGGCUUAAAAACAGCUUUCUUUUUAUUACGUUAAACUUAAUUUAGUGGUUAAUUAAUUUAUUUAAAUAAUUAAUUAUUCACCUAAAAGAUUUUUUAAAAUUAAUUUUAAUUAAUCUUACUUAUAGAAUUAGUACUUUUUUUUUAAUGUUUAAUUAGAUUAAAUUUAUUAAAAUAUAAACUCGGCAAUAAAAUUUUCGGCUGUUUAACAAAAACAUUUCUUUUUGUUUAAAUAAAAAGUAAGGUCUGCCCACUGUAUUAAAUAAAGGGCCGCGGUAUUUUGACUGUGCAAAGGUAGCAUAAUAAUUAGUCCCUUAAUUAGGGAAUAGUAUGAAUGGCUAAACGUAAAUAUGCUUUAUUUUUAAGUUUUAWUGAAAUUGAAUUUAAAGUGAAAAUGCUUUAAUAARUUAAAAGACGAUAAGACCCUAUAGAGUUUUAUUUAGUACARUUAAAAUUUAAUGGGGGGUUAAUUUUAAUUUUAAUAAAUUUAAUUGGGGCAAUUGGAGAAUAAAUAAAUCUUCUUAKGGCUUAAAUCUUACUAAGURKGUUAUCUUAACUUUUAAAAAAUGAAAAAAAUUACCUUAGGGAUAACAGCGUUAUUAAUUUUGAGAGCUCUUAUCGACAAAUUAGUUUGCGACCUCGAUGUUGAAUUAAGAUUUCUUAGUGGGGUAGUUUUUAYAAUAAGAUAGUCUGUUCGACUAUUAAAUUCUUACAUGAUUUGAGUUCAAACCGGCGUGAGCCAGGUUGGUUUCUAUCUUUAGYUUUACUUAAWGUUUUUUAGUACGAAAGGACCAAUAACUUUUAUUUUAUAGGUGUA
rnacentral:rRNA from 1 species